rnacentral:lncRNA from 1 species
CGCCGAAUCGGGAGCUGAGUGGGGGUUUCCCCACUGAGUUCUUUCAUUUGGAGGUCCCACCGAGAUCUGCGUGACACCCAGGAACCCCGAAGGACCCCUUGGAGGUGCCGCAUCAGUUUGAAGUAGGAGACGCAGUCCUGGUGAGGAGACACCGAGCGGGAAACCUAGAACCGAGGUGGAAGGGACCCUACUUGGUGCUACUGACAACGCCCACCGCGGUCAAAGUGGAAGGAAUCCCCACUUGGGUCCACGCAUCCCACGUUAAGAGAGCACCCCCUGGAGUCAGCCAUGAUGAGUGGACUUUAGAGAAGACUACUAAUCCUUUUAAGUUGCGCCUGCUUCGUAGGAGCGAUCCCAAAAGACUUCAACCCCCACAGUCCUGUUCAACAAACGUGGGAGGUACUCAAUGAGGGGGGUAGGGCUGUAUGGACAAUCGCUGAGGUACACCCUCUGUGGACUUGGUGGCCUAAUCUUUUCCCUGACAUCUGUAAGUUGGCUAUA